rnacentral:rRNA from 1 species
GAGUUUGAUCCUGGCUCAGAACGAACGCUGGCGGCGUGCCUAACACAUGCAAGUCGAACGUGAUCCAGAGCUUGCUCUGGUGAAAGUGGCGCACGGGUGAGUAACGCGUGGAUAACCUACCCUGGUAUCCGGGAUAACAUUCCGAAAGGGGUGCUAAUACCGGAUAAGCCCACGGGCUCUUUGGAGCUUGCGGGAAAAGGUGGCCUCUAUUUAUAAGCUACUGUAUCAGGAUGGGUCCGCGUACCAUUAGCUAGUUGGCGGCGUAACGGACCACCAAGGCGACGAUGGUUAGCUGGUCUGAGAGGAUGAUCAGCCACACUGGAACUGAGACACGGUCCAGACUCCUACGGGAGGCAGCAGUGGGGAAUUUUGCGCAAUGGGGGAAACCCUGACGCAGCAACGCCGCGUGAGUGAUGAAGGCCUUUGGGUCGUAAAGCUCUGUCAGAGGGGAAGAAAUGAUAUAGUGCUAAUACCACUUUAUCUUGACGGUACCCUCAAAGGAAGCACCGGCUAACUCCGUGCCAGCAGCCGCGGUAAUAC